rnacentral:rRNA from 1 species
UGGGGAAUAUUGCACAAUGGGCGCAAGCCUGAUGCAGCCACGCCGCGUGUAUGAAGAAGGCCUUCGGGUUGUAAAGUACUUUCAGCGGGGAGGAAGGCGAUAAGGUUAAUAACCUUGUCGAUUGACGUUACCCGCAGAAGAAGCACCGGCUAACUCCGUGCCAGCAGCCGCGGUAAUACGGAGGGUGCAAGCGUUAAUCGGAAUUACUGGGCGUAAAGCGCACGCAGGCGGUCUGUCAAGUCGGAUGUGAAAUCCCCGGGCUCAACCUGGGAACUGCAUUCGAAACUGGCAGGCUAGAGUCUUGUAGAGGGGGGUAGAAUUCCAGGUGUAGCGGUGAAAUGCGUAGAGAUCUGGAGGAAUACCGGUGGCGAAGGCGGCCCCCUGGACAAAGACUGACGCUCAGGUGCGAAAGCGUGGGGAGCAAACA